CCUACGGGGGGCUGCAGUGAGGAAUAUUGGUCAAUGGGCGCGAGCCUGAACCAGCCAAGUCGCGUGAGGGAAGACGGUCCUAUGGAUUGUAAACCUCUUUUGUCGGGGAGCAAAAGACGCCACGCGUGGCGUUCCGCGAGUACCCGAAGAAAAAGCAUCGGCUAACUCCGUGCCAGAAGCCGCGGUAAUACGGAGGAUGCGAGCGUUAUCCGGAUUUAUUGGGUUUAAAGGGUGCGCAGGCGGAAUGUCAAGUCAGCGGUAAAAUUUCGGGGCUCAACCCCGUCGUGCCGUUGAAACUGGCGUUCUUGAGUGAGCGAGAAGUAUGCGGAAUGCGUGGUGUAGCGGUGAAAUGCAUAGAUAUCACGCAGAACUCCGAUUGCGAAGGCAGCAUACCGGCGCGCAACUGACGCUCAUGCACGAAAGCGUGGGUAUCGAACAGGAUUAGAUACCCGAGUAGUC
rnacentral:rRNA from 1 species